rnacentral:rRNA from 1 species
GGGUUGUGAGGUUAAGCGACUAAGCGUACACGGUGGAUGCCCUGGCAGUCAGAGGCGAUGAAGGACGUGCUAAUCUGCGAUAAGCGUCGGUAAGGUGAUAUGAACCGUUAUAACCGGCGAUUUCCGAAUGGGGAAACCCAGUGUGUUUCGACACACUAUCAUUAACUGAAUCCAUAGGUUAAUGAGGCGAACCGGGGGAACUGAAACAUCUAAGUACCCCGAGGAAAAGAAAUCAACCGAGAUUCCCCCAGUAGCGGCGAGCGAACGGGGAGCAGCCCAGAGCCUGAAUCAGUGUGUGUGUUAGUGGAAGCGUCUGGAAAGGCGCGCGAUACAGGGUGACAGCCCCGUACACAAAAAUGCACAUGCUGUGAGCUCGAUGAGUAGGGCGGGACACGUGGUAUCCUGUCUGAAUAUGGGGGGACCAUCCUCCAAGGCUAAAUACUCCUGACUGACCGAUAGUGAACCAGUACCGUGAGGGAAAGGCGAAAAGAACCCCGGCGAGGGGAGUGAAAAAGAACCUGAAACCGUGUACGUACAAGCAGUGGGAGCCUCUUUUAUGGGGUGACUGCGUACCUUUUGUAUAAUGGGUCAGCGACUUAUAUUCUGUAGCAAGGUUAACCGAAUAGGGGAGCCGAAGGGAAACCGAGUCUUAACUGGGCGUUAAGUUGCAGGGUAUAGACCCGAAACCCGGUGAUCUAGCCAUGGGCAGGUUGAAGGUUGGGUAACACUAACUGGAGGACCGAACCGACUAAUGUUGAAAAAUUAGCGGAUGACUUGUGGCUGGGGGUGAAAGGCCAAUCAAACCGGGAGAUAGCUGGUUCUCCCCGAAAGCUAUUUAGGUAGCGCCUCGUGAAUUCAUCUCCGGGGGUAGAGCACUGUUUCGGCAAGGGGGUCAUCCCGACUUACCAACCCGAUGCAAACUGCGAAUACCGGAGAAUGUUAUCACGGGAGACACACGGCGGGUGCUAACGUCCGUCGUGAAGAGGGAAACAACCCAGACCGCCAGCUAAGGUCCCAAAGUCAUGGUUAAGUGGGAAACGAUGUGGGAAGGCCCAGACAGCCAGGAUGUUGGCUUAGAAGCAGCCAUCAUUUAAAGAAAGCGUAAUAGCUCACUGGUCGAGUCGGCCUGCGCGGAAGAUGUAACGGGGCUAAACCAUGCACCGAAGCUGCGGCAGCGACGCUUAUGCGUUGUUGGGUAGGGGAGCGUUCUGUAAGCCUGUGAAGGUGUGCUGUGAGGCAUGCUGGAGGUAUCAGAAGUGCGAAUGCUGACAUAAGUAACGAUAAAGCGGGUGAAAAGCCCGCUCGCCGGAAGACCAAGGGUUCCUGUCCAACGUUAAUCGGGGCAGGGUGAGUCGACCCCUAAGGCGAGGCCGAAAGGCGUAGUCGAUGGGAAACAGGUUAAUAUUCCUGUACUUGGUGUUACUGCGAAGGGGGGACGGAGAAGGCUAUGUUGGCCGGGCGACGGUUGUCCCGGUUUAAGCGUGUAGGCUGGUUUUCCAGGCAAAUCCGGAAAAUCAAGGCUGAGGCGUGAUGACGAGGCACUACGGUGCUGAAGCAACAAAUGCCCUGCUUCCAGGAAAAGCCUCUAAGCAUCAGGUAACAUCAAAUCGUACCCCAAACCGACACAGGUGGUCAGGUAGAGAAUACCAAGGCGCUUGAGAGAACUCGGGUGAAGGAACUAGGCAAAAUGGUGCCGUAACUUCGGGAGAAGGCACGCUGAUAUGUAGGUGAAGCGACUUGCUCGUGGAGCUGAAAUCAGUCGAAGAUACCAGCUGGCUGCAACUGUUUAUUAAAAACACAGCACUGUGCAAACACGAAAGUGGACGUAUACGGUGUGACGCCUGCCCGGUGCCGGAAGGUUAAUUGAUGGGGUCAGCGCAAGCGAAGCUCUUGAUCGAAGCCCCGGUAAACGGCGGCCGUAACUAUAACGGUCCUAAGGUAGCGAAAUUCCUUGUCGGGUAAGUUCCGACCUGCACGAAUGGCGUAAUGAUGGCCAGGCUGUCUCCACCCGAGACUCAGUGAAAUUGAACUCGCUGUGAAGAUGCAGUGUACCCGCGGCAAGACGGAAAGACCCCGUGAACCUUUACUAUAGCUUGACACUGAACAUUGAGCCUUGAUGUGUAGGAUAGGUGGGAGGCUUUGAAGUGUGGACGCCAGUCUGCAUGGAGCCGACCUUGAAAUACCACCCUUUAAUGUUUGAUGUUCUAACGUUGACCCGUAAUCCGGGUUGCGGACAGUGUCUGGUGGGUAGUUUGACUGGGGCGGUCUCCUCCUAAAGAGUAACGGAGGAGCACGAAGGUUGGCUAAUCCUGGUCGGACAUCAGGAGGUUAGUGCAAUGGCAUAAGCCAGCUUGACUGCGAGCGUGACGGCGCGAGCAGGUGCGAAAGCAGGUCAUAGUGAUCCGGUGGUUCUGAAUGGAAGGGCCAUCGCUCAACGGAUAAAAGGUACUCCGGGGAUAACAGGCUGAUACCGCCCAAGAGUUCAUAUCGACGGCGGUGUUUGGCACCUCGAUGUCGGCUCAUCACAUCCUGGGGCUGAAGUAGGUCCCAAGGGUAUGGCUGUUCGCCAUUUAAAGUGGUACGCGAGCUGGGUUUAGAACGUCGUGAGACAGUUCGGUCCCUAUCUGCCGUGGGCGCUGGAGAACUGAGGGGGGCUGCUCCUAGUACGAGAGGACCGGAGUGGACGCAUCACUGGUGUUCGGGUUGUCAUGCCAAUGGCACUGCCCGGUAGCUAAAUGCGGAAGAGAUAAGUGCUGAAAGCAUCUAAGCACGAAACUUGCCCCGAGAUGAGUUCUCCCUGAC